rnacentral:rRNA from 1 species
GAUGAACGCUGGCGGCGUGCCUAAUACAUGCAAGUCGAGCGAACGGACGAGAAGCUUGCUUCUCUGAUGUUAGCGGCGGACGGGUGAGUAACACGUGGAUAACCUACCUAUAAGACUGGGAUAACUUCGGGAAACCGGAGCUAAUACCGGAUAAUAUUUUGAACCGCAUGGUUCAAAAGUGAAAGACGGUCUUGCUGUCACUUAUCGAUGGAUCCGCGCUGCAUUAGCUAGUUGGUAAGGUAACGGCUUACCAAGGCAACGAUGCAUAGCCGACCUGAGAGGGUGAUCGGCCACACUGGAACUGAGACACGGUCCGGACUCCUACGGGAGGCAGCAGUAGGGAAUCUUCCGCAAUGGGCGAAAGCCUGACGGAGCAACGCCGCGUGAGUGAUGAAGGUCUUCGGAUCGUAAAACUCUGUUAUUAGGGAAGAACAUAUGUGUAAGUAACUGUGCACAUCUUGACGGUACCUAAUCAGAAAGCCACGGCUAACUACGUG